AUUGAACGCUGGCGGCAUGCCUUACACAUGCAAGUCGAACGGUAACAGGGUGCUUGCACCGCUGACGAGUGGCGAACGGGUGAGUAAUGCGUCGGAACGUGCCGAGUAGUGGGGGAUAACGCAGCGAAAGUUGUGCUAAUACCGCAUACGUACUGAGGUAGAAAGUGGGGGACCUUCGGGCCUCACGCUAUUCGAGCGGCCGACGUCUGAUUAGCUAGUAGGUGAGGUAAAGGCUCACCUAGGCGACGAUCAGUAGCGGGUCUGAGAGGAUGAUCCGCCACACUGGGACUGAGACACGGCCCAGACUCCUACGGGAGGCAGCAGUGGGGAAUGUUGGACAAUGGGCGAAAGCCUGAUCCAGCCAUGCCGCGUGUCUGAAGAAGGCCUUCGGGUUGUAAAGGACUUUUGUCAGGGAGGAAAUCCCUAGUGCUAAUAACACUGGGGGAUGACAGUACCUGAAGAAUAAGCACCGGCUAACUACGUGCCAGCCGCCGCGGUAAAAC
rnacentral:rRNA from 1 species